CCCGUGUCUUUACACUUCCACAGCUACCACAAGCCUCACUGCUGGCUGCCAAGGGCUUUUCCCCGUGCCAGUCGGAGCCUUUUCCCUGGAAAUCCUCGCAGAAGCGGCAGGAGUUGUCCCGGCCGAGCCGGGGACGCCGGGCUGUGGGCUCGGCAGGGCUGACAGCAGGUGUCAGCACGGCUCCAGAGCCAGCGCCGCUCCCCGCCACACAAACCCCCCUCGCUAAGAGCAACUAACUGAAAAGAAUCAAUGUCUGUUUUCUUUCUAAAAUAAAAUCCCCCAGUCACUGCAGACCCAGCUCGAUGAUUCCCACCCGCAGGAGAAGCUGCCUUCCAAUAUAACCAUAUUUCUUUCUGUUGCUCCCUGCGGUCUGCAGAAUUUCAGCAGGCACGUGUGAGGUGCUGGAUUUGUCCCUUUCCCCUCUGCAUCGCCUGUUUGACUGCAAGUCCAAGGCAGACACAGCUGUCACUUUGUGUCCAUCCUGGGCUUCCAGCAGCCCUAGAGAGGUGCCUGGUCAAGGCUAAAACCAUCCAAAGAUACUGAGGAGGUGACUCUGCUUGUGGCUGUUUUUACAAACAGCUUUAUUUUAUUCACUUCCUUUCCAUAAAGAGAACAUAUCCAUUAUGGGAAAAGGUCAGUGAGGACUUUUAUCCUCCAGAACAAAUCUUACUUAAGUUACACCAAAUUUGAUUCACUUUUCUUUAUUACAUGUAAGUAAAAAGCCCUCUCCUUCCUUUGCUGUUGCCUCCAGAAUUCUGUUGUCAAGUGAAUUGCUGGCAGGAGGCAGAUGUGCCUGGAUGGAAGAUUUUCAUGUGGCUGGUGAAUCAGCUCGAAAAUGUAAAAAGGUCUGAGGAAAAGAGGAAGAGGCUGCCAGGGCUCCCAGCUGCGUCCCCAACCAACAAGAGGGCUGCCACAUGCACUUACACUGGGCUUGCCCAGGGAUGUCACUUGAGCCACAGCACAACUUCUCUCCUGUCCUUCAUGUAGCAGCCAUGGUCUGAUGCAGAAGCCUGGAUUUCUUCUUGAGGUUGUGGCCCUCACACAACUGCAGGGGUUGGAGUCUGGGGACAAGGAUCAAAGUGCUGAAGUCCCACUCAUGGUGCUGAGCAGGGAGAGAAGGCUCCUCACUUUUCCACAAGCCAAGGGUUGAACUUUGCCCUCCACAAGAGUGUGGGAAAUUUACCAUAGCCCAUCACCAGUGGCUCAGAAUCUGUAUUUAAUACUCUGUUGCCUCAACAAUCAUCAGAUUAAAAGAAAAAUCUGCACUGAAAGUGGAGCCCAGAGGCUCCUCCUGGCUCCCGGCAGCACACUCUGAGCUGGCCCAGCCCCAGCUUCAGCUACUUACAGUCCAGGUGACACACAUUUCCACAGGCUGCCCCCUCAGCCCCAUCCUUGCCAAGCUGUCCAAGAGCCAGGGGUAGAGCUGUGGCAUUGUGAGACACCUGCAAGCAGAGAUGUGGGGGGAACAUCACAUCCCCACACUGCUCCAGGGAAGCUGACUGUCACCUCAGCCCCAGGUAAGUGCUGACAGAGGGAUGCUCCAUCAUUUGGUGUCCUGUGGAAGAUGCAGGUUGGUGAGGCUGCAGGUGGGGGGAGAGGCAGAGGAGGAGGAGCAGCAGCAGAUCUCUCCCAGCUCCUGCUCUACAGCCCUGUGCCAGGACUGGCCAGGCUGGCUGGCUGGCGGUGGGCGUUCGUGACUCAUGAUCCCUGAUCACCAUCCGAUGACACAUUUACUGCCAGCAGGAUGGGCCUCCUGCCAGCACAGCAGCUCUGGAGCCUCACGGGAGGGUGGCUGGGCUUUGCCAGCAGCUGUGCUGAUGCAGAUGGGUGGGGAGGUCACCAGCUGCAGCCCUGGGAUGCACAACCUGAUGAACCUCCUGUCUGGGUGGGUAAUGGGGGCAGACCAGGAUCCUCUGUCUCAAUGUUCAGUGUGGGACCACAGGGGCAGAGAUGGGACCCAGUCAGGGCCAAGCACAGCAGGCCCUGGAGCCAGCCCAGCUCCCUCACCUCCCACAGCACUCUCCCUGCCUGUCCAGAGAGCUGGCUCCCUGCAGUGGGCCCAUGGUGACAAAUGCCUUUAAAACAUUCUUUAUUAAGUGAGAAAUCUCACUGUGCUCCCUAUGGCAAGCCCUAAUACAGUACAGACCUAAAUACAGCACUAAUGCAAAAGCUUAAAGGAUUUCCCAUAAUUGAGUAAAGCUGACAGAGGGGUGAGAGUCUGUCGGGGGGAACUGCAGCCCACCUCCCUCCUCAGCAUGGGCUACCCUCAGUGUAACCUCUCUGGUCCAAAUGUGGCCACAGCCCCCACCCUUGGACUGUUUAGUACAGGAAAUUAAAAUCUUCCAAGGCCUCAUCCUCCCCAGCUCAGAGCCCCAAGUUGCCCUCGUUACCCUCACCAAAAUCCCUUUGAUUUAUGCAACAGCACAAGUAGCAUCAUGAUGUGUGUGACCUGUGCAUCACCCAUCCUCCUGCUGCCAGCACUGCUGGGGCUCUGCCUGCCCCUAACCUCGCUGAGGGUCACAACAGGGCCAGGGCAGCAGGACUGGGCACAUCCAGCUUCCAAAGCACAAGGGAUGCUCCAGGCAGGGGAGCUGCUGAGCCAGCACCUGCUGCUCCUGCACACCCCAGCAUGUGGGUGGCCACCAGCACCCUGCACCCCAGAGAAUACAUGGUCUUACCUUUGUAUUUCCUCUACCUUGGCACAGCCACAUGUGGCUCUGGAACAGUGAUGGGAAUAUCCUGUGUUUCCUUACUAGCAGGGCAGAGUGGGACCCUCAGGCAGGCUCACCCCACAGGGCAAGUGGCUGAUGCCUUUGAUUCAGGCUUCUGUGGGGAAAGCAAAACACAGUUUUCUUUAGUAAGUCUUCCAGGAGCUUUACAAAGCACAGGCACCUCUGUUUUGGUGCAGCCACAUGCAGCCUGAAACAUCUCCAGCGCCCCUUGAUGUGAUCACCAGGAGCUGUUCACCAGUGAGAGCUCUGCCAGACAUUCAGGUACCACUGUGCUGCAGGUGUGGGGGCAAAACUGAGGGCUGGCUGGGCUGUGGGGCAGGUGGGGCCACAGCCACAAAGGCCUCAUGGCCAUGGGGAGCACAGGACAUGCAGGAGCUGCAGCAGAAGCAGUGCCAUGGAGAUGGGCUGUGAAGCAUUAAAGCAGAAGCUGCGUCGAUUACAAACACAGCUUCGAGCACACGGUGGCUGCAGAGGGUGGGAGGCAGCAGCUCCCUGGGGAAGGCUCUGAUAACAUUUACGAGCAAAUCAUUUACAUGAGCCAUGGAGCAAAGCAGAAAUACCUCUGUGGAGCUCAGCUGUGGCUGUGAAGAGAGAAAUGAUGCAGCAGCACUGUACCAGGGCCUCCUGCCUGGCAGCGGGAUCUUCCUCAGGCAGGUGGUGAGGUGUCACAGUGCCAUCCCCUCAGGGCUGCAUUUACACCUUCAGGUCCAGGGGAAGGACAGUGGGAACAGUGGAGCAGAUGCCAGGGCACGUGCCUGCUAAACAGCCUGGCAGAGCCACCCUGAAAAAGGCAACACAAGAAGGGAAGGGCAAAGCAAACAUCUUGCAACUGAGCCAGGCCUUGCUGGGUGGUUGCUCCUCCAAGCCCGUUGCCAUGGCCUUCAGGCUGGGGCUUUUUCUGUCUCCUUGCCUCAAAGACACCUGAGGCCUCCCAGCCCACUCACAGGGAUCCUUUGUUGGCAUGUGCUGCCGUCUCAGAGAUGUACUCAAGGCACAUCUCACCUGGGCUGGAGGAGGCACCCGAACCCAUCAUCUGCAGUAACAGCUCAGAGCACAAGGGAGAGGGUACAGGCUGCUCACACUGCCCUGCAUUCUGAUGUGACCCCUGCUGGAGAGAGUUAAGGGCUGCUUGUGUUGGAGAACAUAUUUUAUAUCCACAACUGAUGAUUAGCCAAACAUUCCUCCAUUCUCUUAUUUCUCAUAAUAAAUAGAUCAAAUGGAUAUAUUUAUCCAGCACUAAGACCAGAAUGAAUAAAAACUGGCUUUGGACCAUCUAAACAUGGAGCAAGUCUUGAAAAAUUGAAAUUUCCCCAUGUUACCCACUGAAGCUUCAACAGCCAAAGAGCUGAAAGAGAUUUUUGUAUUAAACUUGAUUUUCCUGCACAAACAAGCCCCAGUGAAAAAGCAGAUGGGUCAGGUGCUGUAAGACUUCAAAAUGACACAUGCUGUAAAUACAGCAUCAUGAAUAAUUUUGCUCAGAUCCUUUAAUCCAACUCCAUCUCUAAAGCAGUUUGCAUCAGCUCCUCCUGUAACUUCUGCAAAUGGGCCCCAGGUAAAAUCCCACAUCCUUGGUCCAAGUGUGCUCUUUGGCCUUGAAACACAAUUUAAAGUCUCUAGUUGAUGGACUACCCUCCAUUUUCAGUGCCAGUGUGGGACUCCCACCCCCAGCCUCCUCCAUGGGGGAGGCUUCUGAGCAGAGCUGGUGUCUCCAGCAGCCAAGGCCCAGCCCAUCCCACAUCUCAAGGAAUGCAUCACUUGAAAGCUCCCGUCUCCAUCCUGCAGGGAAAGCAAGCCAGACCAAAGCUAGCAAUAAAAAUGAUGAGUAACCAUUCAGGAAGGAUCCCAUGCUUCUACAUCAACUGCCUAGAAAAGUUUCAGUUCUACUUUUUUUUGAUCUUAGAAACAAUUCAGACAUUUAACUGUGCCAUCAGAUGAGGCAGGAGUCAUUUAUAGAAGAAAUCUCUAAGUGGCCUUGACACACAAAUAGAGUCAAUUAACCUGCAAGGAGAAGUCCGGGGAACAGGCUGAUGAAAAAGCAGCAGUUACAUAAUUUGUCCUGGACUCGGUCUGUCUGUUCUCAAAGUCAGCAGCUUGUCCUGCUGGGGAUGAGGAGCAGUGUCUGCCCAGCCUCCUCUGGCAGUGCCUCCUCGCCACCGCUCCUGCCCCGAGCAGCUCCACUGCACCCACAUCCCCUGAAACACAUUCUCAAACUCCUAAUCCCUCCCCCAAGUCAGAUUCUUAAACUCCUUUGGGAAAAGAGGCGAGGCUGCCUCCCCUGCUGUGAGGGACUCUCCCGUGCUGGCACCGAGCUCCUGCGGCUGCACCAUCGGGGCUCACCCGUCACGGCCAGGUCUGCAGCCACGCUCCCCACGAGGGCACUUACUCACAUCCUCGGGUCCCGGCGCUGUCCUCUGCUGCCCACGAGCUGAGUGAUGCUGUGGCUGGGGACAGCCACAUGUCCUGGCUCGGUGCCUCCAGCUUAAAGCCUUGAUGGAGCAAGUGGUGGCCACCAGCCAGUUUAAGGGUCAAAGCCCCUCGGACACAAUGCUAUCGGUAACAAGGUGGUGACCAAGGAGGCCUCGCUGUUGAGCAGUUUUCUUAUGACUAAAUCUACGCAACGUUACAGAAAGGACAAACAAGCUCAUCAAGAAGCAAUUUUCUCUUGCAGCAGCUUAGACCCAGCUCAGCCAGGCUGGCUCCAGACCAUGGUGAGAGGCAGCUCCAGCUUGUGCUGGCUGGAGGUGCGAGCCUGGCCGGGCAGCCCGGGAUGAGCUGGGCACUUGGAAGAGAGCUGGGGAAUCCAGGCUGCUGCCAAAGGGGAGCUCACUGUUGUAUUAUUGCACUGGGACAUUCAAAACAGUAUUUGACACCAAUGCUGAAAGAGAAAAAUUAAUACACACAGCACUGUUCUACAAAAGCUGCAGGCCUUUGAAUGGGAAUUGAUUCAUUCUUCAUGGUUAUCUUCAAAUGCACAGCUCUGAUCUCCUCUCUAAUCACAUCACAGACAGGGUCAGAAGGGAAGCAUGGAAAAAUACAAGCUAAGCAGACCACAUCACAUGUGUCUCCGAAGGUCUAAGGCACAAGAGAAACCAAAAGGCAGCAUCUGGAAAGUUUUACUUUUUAUUUUUCUAAAAUACAAAUGUCUGUCUUGUGUUAGUAACUUUAAUAUGAUAGGCCGAAUGCAUCCAGUAAAAAGGAGGCACUGGCUACAGAAUUCAAAAUACUGAAGAUAUUUUCUGGAAAGAAAUUUAUUCUGUUGAUCUACACUUCAGAUAUAACAUUGAUUCAAAUUCAUUAGUUAUUAUUUUUACAUCAGAAUCUUUGAAGUUUGGGACUAAUAAACUGGAACUUGAAAAGUUUUUAAAGUAAACUCCUAUUAAUGUGUAGAUAUGGAUCCAUAAAAAACAUAACCAAGAAUUUUAUACACUUUAUUAAAAGAUCAAAAAAUAAACAAUAACAAUAUAGAAGUAACAUACUAAAAUGAGUAGCAUUAUGCACAUUUCUAAAGCACGUACAAGCACUACAGCAAUAUAAUGUGGCAAAAAGAAACAAAUUCAAAGCGUACACCCUGUUGGUAGCAGUUGAGGGAAUGAACUAUCCUGUUAUGGAACUGAAAUACUGCAUUAACCUACGCCUGUCUGGAUCCAAUGAUAUUUUAAUUUCUUACAAUUCCACAGGGCUAAGUGUAAUCAUUUGUAUAUAUUUUCUAAACUAUUCCAUUAAAUUUAUAUCUAAUGUUUCCCUUACUUUGUUUUACCAGAAAUGCCUAUGAAAAGAAGAAUGUGCUUCAAAGAUCUACUUUACACAGUACAGUAUAAAUGUUUUUAUAUAUUUAAAUUAAAAAUUGACAAUUUAGGAGAACAUUCUCUCUUUGAUUUUAGUGAUUGCCUAAAAUACAAUUCUCUAUUUAUAAAAAAAAAUAGUGAUCUGUUGUCAGGUGAUGUAAUAAAGGGUGAGGAGUCUGUUCAUUUUCAUGAUCUAAAAAAAAAAAAAAAUUAAAACAAAGCUAAUUGGAAA